ACGUACGCAAGUAUGAAACUUAAAGGAAUUGGCGGGGGAGCACCCACAAGGGGUGAAGCCUGCGGUUCAAUUGGAGUCAACGCCAGAAAUCUUACCCGGAGAGACAGCAGAAUGAAGGUCAAGCUGAAGACUUUACCAGACAAGCUGAGAGGUGGUGCAUGGCCGUCGCCAGCUCGUGCCGUGAGAUGUCCUGUUAAGUCAGGUAACGAGCGAGAUCCCUGCCUCUAGUUGCCACCAUUACUCUCAGGAGUAGUGGGGCGAAUUAGCGGGACCGCCGUAGUUAAUACGGAGGAAGGAAGGGGCCACGGCAGGUCAGUAUGCCCCGAAACUCUGGGGCCACACGCGGGCUGCAAUGGUAGUGACAAUGUGUUCCGAAUCCGAAGGGAGGAGGUAAUCCAGAAACAUUACCACAGUUAUGAUUGAGGGCUGCGACUCGUCCUCACGAAUAUGGAAUCCCUAGUAACUGCGUGUCAUUAUCGCGCGGUGAAUACGUCCCUGCUCCUUGCACACACCGCCCGUCGUUUCAUUGAAGUUUGCUUUAGGCGAGGUGACGUCUCAUU
rnacentral:rRNA from 1 species